UCCUGAAAUAGCUCAGUUGGUAGAGCGUGAGACUCUUAAUCUCAGGGUCGUGGGUUUGAACCCCACAUUGGGCA